GCGCCCUCCUCAUCCAUCCGUCUGACCAUCCAUUACCCAUACGUACAUCAUCCAUCCAUCCAUCUUCUCCAUGCAUGUUCCAUCCAUCAUCCAUUCACCCACCUAUCCAUCCACCCACCCAUCCAUCCACCUGUCCAUCCAGAGAAGGCCAGAUAUGUGUCAGGAAUAGAGGUCAGCAGAAUAAACGUGGUCCUUGCCCUCAGGGACCUUUCAGCCUAGAAGAGGGGUCAGGCAUUAAUCGAAUAAGUAUAUACUUAGGAAACAAGGUAUAUGCUAUAGAAGAAGUCAAAGGUCAUGACAUUAUAUUGGGGAGAAGACGGGACCCGAGCUCAUCCAGGAGAUUGGAGGUUUCUGUGAGCGAUUAACAUUUGUGCUAAGAUCUGAAGGCCAAACAGAAGUAAACAAGGUAUGAGAAGAUGCAAGAAAUUGGACUCAGAAAAUCUGCUGAAAAUAUCUAACUAUCUGAAGACCUGUUCUGCCAGUUUUUCCCAGAGUACAGAGCACUUCAUUCCUGAUCUCCACCCUGACCUCCUUUCAGGCUCCCCAAACCCUUGGAAUUUCCUAACUGUUAAGAGCAUAAAUGUGUCUCGUUAUAUGAAUGAGCUGACUUUUGGAAAGCACCUAAGGAUGGGAGCUGGUUGCCAGGAGAACCAACUAAGUGACUAGAGGGUUGGAAAUUUCAGUCCCACCCUUGAGCUCUGGGGAGGGGAGAAGUGAAGAACGGCGGGUUGAAUUAAUCGCCAAGGGCCAAGAGUUCAUCAAUCGUGCAUGUGUAAUGAAUCCUCCAUAGAGACCCAAAAGGACGGGGUUCUGGGAGCUCCCGAGUUGGUGAACGUGUGCAGAUCUGGGGAGAGCACUGCCUGGAAAGCAUGGAAGCUCUGAAUCCUUUCUCACACCUUGCCCUGUGCACCUCUUCCAUCUGGCUGUUCCUGAGUUCAUAACCUUUUAAAAUAAAUCUGUGAUCUAGCAAGUAACAAGGUUCUCUGAGUUCUGUGAGCCACUCUAGCAAAUUCAUCGAUCCCAAGGAGGGUUGGGAACCUCUGACUUAUAGCCAGUGGCUUGGAAGCACAGGUGACAACCUGCACUUGGGGCUGGUGUCUGAAGUCCAAGGAGGAGGUCGUGGGAACCUCCAGUCUGUAGCCGGUGAGUCAGAAGCGCAGGUAGCAACCUAGACUUGCAGUUGACGUCUGACGUGGGCGUGCGGGCGUUGUGCGACUGGAUCUGUAACCUUCAGGCUCUGACGCCACCUCGGAGCAGGUAGCGUGAGAACUGAGCUGAAUUCUCAGGCGCCCCGCCGGUGUCUGAGAAUUGUUUGUUGGUGGGGUGUGGGGGGACUACCCCGAGAUUAGAAGUGGAGUCUCAG